rnacentral:rRNA from 1 species
UACGGAAGGCAGCAGUGGGGAAUAUUGCACAAUGGGCGCAAGCCUGAUGCAGCCAUGCCGCGUGUAUGAAGAAGGCCUUCGGGUUGUAAAGUACUUUCAGCGGGGAGGAAGGCGAUGCGGUUAAUAACCGCGUCGAUUGACGUUACCCGCAGAAGAAGCACCGGCUAACUCCGUGCCAGCAGCCGCGGUAAUACGGAGGGUGCAAGCGUUAAUCGGAAUUACUGGGCGUAAAGCGCACGCAGGCGGUCUGUUAAGUCAGAUGUGAAAUCCCCGGGCUUAACCUGGGAACUGCAUUUUGAAACUGGCAGGCUUGAGUCUUGUAGAGGGGGUGAAUUCCAGGUGUAGCGGUGAAAUGCGUAGAGAUCUGGAGGAAUCCGGUGGCGAAGGCGGCCCCUGGGCAAAGCUGACGCUCAGGGUGCGAAAGCGUGGGGAGCGAAACAGGGAUUAGGAUACC